rnacentral:lncRNA from 1 species
AGUUAGAGCAUAAUGGGUGGAAUUGAUAAGAAUUAGGGUUAAAAUUGGGGUCAAAAUUGAAAUUAGGUUUAAAAUUGGUUAAUUGAUGAAAUUGGGCUAAAUUGGGGUGUAAAUCAUGAAAUUGGAGUUGAAUUGGGUUUCAAUGAAUUGGGGGUAAUUUUGGUAUAUAUAAAGGGAUUUUCCUUAUUUGCAAAUAAGUUUGAAUGGGGUGGGUUUAAUUGAAAAACAAAAAAGUUGGAUGUCCCUUUUUUAAUUAAGUGCCCUUGUCAUGGGCCUAUUUGCCAUUACCCC